AUUGAACGCUGGCGGCAGGCCUAACACAUGCAAGUCGAACGAGUGGCGGACGGGUGAGUAAUGUAUGGGAAAUUGCCUGAUGGAGGGGGAUAACUACUGGAAACGGUAGCUAAUACCGCAUACCAUCAGAUUUGCCCAGAUGGGAUUAGCUAGUAGGUGGGGGAAUGGCUCACCUAGGCGACGAUCCCUAGCUGGUCGGAGAGGAUGACCGGCAACACUGGAACUAGGAAACGGGCCAGACUCCUACGGGAGGAGGCAGUGGGAAAUAUUGCACAAUGGGCGCAAGCCGGAUGCAGACAGGCCGCGGGUGUGAGGAGGGCCUUCGGGUUGUAAAGCACUUUCAGCGAGGAGGCGUUACUCGCAGAAGAAGCACCGGCUAACUCCGUGCCAGCAGCCGCGGUAAUAC
rnacentral:rRNA from 1 species